CGGCAGGCUUAACACAUGCAAGUCGAGGGGCCUCAAGGAGGAAGCUUGCUUUCUCCGCCGGCGACCGGCGCACGGGUGAGUAACACGUAUGCAACCUGCCCCUGUCAGGGGGACAACCCGCCGAAAGGCGGGCUAAACCCGCGUACAUGCCACCGGGGCAUCCCGGAGGCAGGAAAGGCUUCGGCCGGACACGCAUGGGCAUGCAGCGCAUUAGGCAGUAGGCGGGGUAACGGCCCACCUAACCGACGAUGCGUAGGGGUUCUGAGAGGAAGGUCCCCCACACUGGUACUGAGACACGGACCAGACUCCUACGGGAGGCAGCAGUGAGGAAUAUUGGUCAAUGGUCGGGAGACUGAACCAGCCAAGCCGCGUGAGGGAGGAAGGUACAGAGUAUCGUAAACCUCUUUUGUCAGGGAACAAAGACUGGGACGCGUCCCCGGAUGAGUGUACCUGAAGAAAAAGCAUCGGCUAACUCCGUGCCAGCAGCCGCGGUAAUACGGAGGAUGCGAGCGUUAUCCGGAUUUAUUGGGUUUAAAGGGUGCGCAGGCGGUCUGUUAAGUCAGCGGUCAAAGCCCGGGGCUCAACCCCGGCCCGCCGUUGAAACUGGCAGUCUCGAGUUGGAGAGAAGUAUGCGGAAUGCGCGGUGUAGCGGUGAAAUGCAUAGAUAUCGCGCAGAACUCCGAUUGCGAAGGCAGCAUGCCGGCUCCACACUGACGCU
rnacentral:rRNA from 1 species